rnacentral:rRNA from 1 species
UACAGAGGUCCCAAGCGUUGUUCGGAUUCACUGGGCGUAAAGGGUGCGCAGGUGGCGCUUCAAGUUUGAUGUGAAAGCUUCGGGCUCAGCCCGGAAAUGGCAUUGAAUACUGGAGUGCUGGAGGUUUGGAGGGGGGACUGGAAUUCUCGGUGUAGCAGUGAAAUGCGUAGAUAUCGAGAGGAACACCAGUGGCGAAGGCGAGUCCCUGGACGACUCCUGACACUGAGGCACGAAAGCUAGGGGAGCAAACAGG